rnacentral:rRNA from 1 species
GACGAACGCUGGCGGCGUGCCUAAUACAUGCAAGUCGAACGCUUCUUUCCUCCCGAGUGCUUGCACUCAAUUGGAAAGAGGAGUGGCGGACGGGUGAGUAACACGUGGGUAACCUACCCAUCAGAGGGGGAUAACACUUGGAAACAGGUGCUAAUACCGCAUAACAGUUUAUGCCGCAUGGCAUAAGAGUGAAAGGCGCUUUCGGGUGUCGCUGAUGGAUGGACCCGCGGUGCAUUAGCUAGUUGGUGAGGUAACGGCUCACCAAGGCCACGAUGCAUAGCCGACCUGAGAGGGUGAUCGGCCACACUGGGACUGAGACACGGCCCAGACUCCUACGGGAGGCAGCAGUAGGGAAUCUUCGGCAAUGGACGAAAGUCUGACCAAGCAACGCCGCGUGAGUGAAGAAGGUUUUCGGAUCGUAAAACUCUGUCGUUAGAGAAGAACAAGGACGUUAGUAACUGAACGUCCCCUGACGGUAUCUAACCAGAAAGCCACGGCUAACUACGUG